CACCUCAACGAUUUUGAGCGCACCUCUUAUUUUCUGGCUAGCCUCGGAUCUGAUUAUGAUCCUUUUGUUACCUCCAUAACUACUCGACUGGAUCCUUUGUCCCUAGAUGAAAUCUAUGGACACCUUCUUGCUCAUGAGA